UUGGGCCCUAACUCGGGCAGGUGGCUGGCGUAAAGCUCACACGUGGCAGUGGGGCUCAGCGGCUUUUGGCAGAAAGAUUUAUCGUAACAGACCUCAAUGUAAAAUAUGCCUCUAUAAGAUCAGGGUGUGGGGUAGCCUUUUCUUCAAUAGUAAUUGGUGUGUGUGUGGGGGGGACAAACCCCUUGAUGAUGAUGUCACCCCUGGAAUAAUAAUAGUCCUUGAUGCUAUGAGAAAGGAGGUGAACAAGCCACACGCAGCAAAACAGUAAAAAGCAUCCCUCCCUGGCCUCUGCAUCAUCCCCUGCAUCCUGGCAAGUUUGCCACUCCACAUGGUACAUCAUGAAUGCAGGUAGUAAGGCCGUGGGACUUGAUUAAUUAACCCAGUCUAAAGGUAUAAGUAGCCUUCGCUUGGCUUAAUGCAUGCUCAUGAUGGGCUGUUAUGUUUGGUCUUAACAAUAGGGGAUCAGCUCUGCUAUUUUACAGCUAAUAGAUCUGUAGGAAAAAAAAACUUAUCUGGUGUUAGUCUAUGUGAAGAAUACUGUGAUGGGGGAUUUCCUCUUGUAUGCUGUGAAUACAUGUUUCUCUUAUUGGCUGAGGAAUAAAGCUAUUUUGGCAAAUGGACAGGCAGGAUGUAGCCAGCAGGAAGUAUGGGCAGGCCUACCAGGAGAGGAGAAUUCUGGGAAGAGGAAUGCAGAGAGUGAUUUGCCAGGGAGAUGCCAUAUAGUCCCUAAGAAAGCAAGAAACUCUGGCAUCACAGGUAAGCAAGACCAUGUGGAGACACACAGAUUAAUAGAAAUGGGUUAAUAAUUAAGAGAGCCCUAACCAAUAAGAAGCCAUAGCAAUAAGCUGAACAGUUUAUAAUUUCUAUAAGCCUCUAUGUGUUUAUUUGGGACUGAACAGCUCCAUCACCAGUAGGGACAGAAACUUCCAUCUACAAUGGUGGGAGCUUGAAACCAGGGUUGCUCUGUGUAACCUUGUAAUGUGAAAAACAGAAAGCUCUCAUUGCCAACAACCAUGGAUCCUCAAGUAAUGUCCACCCUUUUGAUACCAUGAUACACUUUAUUAUCUUUAAGAUGAGAAACUAUGCCCAUGACAAGAUUGUUUUAGGACACAGAUACAAUGUUAGUCUGGCAGACAAAAAAGAAUAUAGGAUAUAGUGAAAAAUCAAAAAUGCUUUCACUGUUGUUAGCUUUUAGAAUAAAUAAGUGGGAACGUGGGCCAGGUAUGGAUUUGCAAUUGGACUAAUUUUGAGGUGAGGCUUGUUUUCUGUGAGAAGAUAGUAGAAUAGUUUGAUACGUAUCUCUAUCUAUCUAUCUAUCUAUCUAUCUAUCUAUCUAUCUAUCUAUCUUUACUUGUUUGUAAUAAUGGUGUUUCUAACAAAUAUAUUGAGCCAGUUUAUAAAUCUAUAAAAUCUAUGUUUAAUUUUACCUGUAUCUGACUCCCUUACAAUACCCUGCAUAGGCCAUUUAGAAGGAAGUUCUUUUGGUAAUUCUGUAUGAGGUGAAAGUCAUUUCCAUAUAAAUGAUACACAUUACAUGUGCAUUUAGUGAGUUAAUCCAGGUUGAACCUGUCCACAGGGGUUCGCAAUGCUAUAAGAAGAACAGAUGAACAAAAUCUUUGAGUAUCAGCUCUCACUUCUCGGAGCUAACAUGAAAUGAGAAAGUCGAUUGCUUCAUUUUGAUCUCUGUAGAAACCUUUGGCUGAAAUGCCCAUUUGUGCACUAUCUGUGCCCUGUAUCUAGCCUACUGAACUGACCCACAAAGCAGGUGUAUUCUCAGUGUGAUGCCCAGGGGCCCUCAACUUCCAUUGUAUUGAAUUGGGAUGCUCCUGGGGUAUCUUCACAGUCUCCAAACACUAAACAAUGAAAAUGAAAUCUUUACAUGGCCACAAAUUUAAUAACAAUGAAAAUAAGAGAGUCUAUAGAAAACCACCCAUAUGAUGUCAUUCUAUGAUGUCAGAAUUCCCCCAGGCAACUAACCAACAAGAGAGACCCUGAUAAAUCAAUGUAAGACUUGACCAUUCUCAUAGUUGUGAUACAUGAAAUGUAGAUAGCAUGGACGAGGAUUUCUGACAAUAUUUCCAAACAAUCUAGUCAUUGAAUUUUAACUCUUCCUUCUCGUAAUAUAUCUCAGAAGACAGAAGCUAUAACCUCGAUGAUAAAAGGGCACACUCAGGAUGAAGUGACUCAUGACAGUUUCUUGCACUGCUGCAAGGAUGACGUGAGUAGGCCCUUCUGUCAUGAGAACACUUGCUGUCCAGGUGCUCACAUGUGAUUCAUACUUGAGAACCUCUGCCACCAUCCAUUUUAGGAUGUACAUGUUCUUGGCACCUCCAAAAUCCAUCCCUCUCAUGUGUUAGCAGUUCUCAUGUAUGGCAGUAAUGCUGCCAUACAAGACCACCAACAGAUAAUUGACAGCUCAGCUUAGAGGAAUAUGAAAGCAGGAUCUGAUGACAUCUUAAAUGAUAAACAUUUCUGGAAGUUUCUUAAAUGGGUAUUUGAACUUUAAAACUAGUCACGGGCUUAGAAGUCAUUGUCCCUCAAAGAGUAAAUCCUUGUUGAAUUAUAAUUUCCUGUUUACCAUGUCUUUUAAAAACUUACAAACUAUUUUUAAAAGUUUGUAUUCAGUGUCAAUGUCUUUUUAUUGUUUUGCUCUCUUUUUAGAGCAUUGAUUUCAAGGACAACUUAUGUUACAUCAGCAACAUAUGGAAGUUUGAUCCAUAACAAAUAAAAUAUAAAUAUCAAUUGACUUUAAGUUACAUAAGAUAUUAUCUAUAAAUUCCAUUUGUUGGUGUGUGUGUAUGCGAGUGUGCAUACUAUGUAAAAUAUGUAGUACAUUUUUGUGUGUAGUAUAUAUAAGUACUAAAUACAUGUAAACAAAUGUGACCUUAAGCUUUCACAUCUAUAAAUAAAUUCUUAGAUAUGUCCUUGAGGUCACUUUAAAUUGCCUUAGAAGCAUGACAGAGACAAGAGGUUCAAAUUUUAAAAUAUGUUUAAAAUUAAAAAAUUCAAAAGUAAAGUAAUUGAUAAGGUGACCUCCACAAAAGUUGAGAAUAUUUCAGGCUUCACUAAGAUACCAGAAACUUACUUUCAUUCCCACUACAGUAAACCUCAGUAGGAACUCAGUAGCAACUAAGCAUGGCAUCACAGUUGGGCUUGACCAGUCAUAACCACACUGCUACAGAAGAAAUUUUCAGAAUCAAAAGCUUUCUUGUCAAGUGAAUCAAUGUGACUUUUCUUUUCCUCAUUACCAUGUCACCAUCAUGGACAUUAGCAACUAUUGCUUAUUGUGAGCUCAUUGUGGAUACAUGAAGGAAUGACUUAUUUCCCACCAUAUUUUCUCAACAAAAUAUCCUCAAGGAUGUUAGGAAGCUGUUUUAUGCAAGAGCUAAGAGCCAUACAUAAGCAUCUACAUUUGAUCUUUCACAGAGUAUCAAUUUAUACUCUACCUUGGGUACUCUACAUCAUACUCUAGGUGACUUGGAUUCUAACCUUUCACAUGGCCUGACAAAAACAUGAUUUUUUUUAACGUCUCAUUCAUUUAAGUAAAUAGUGAAGCCAAUAUAUUGAUUCUAUUCCUAUUCCUUUUGUAAACUGGGAAAUAACUAAAAACAAUGGUAGCAUUCCAAAAUUAAAAUUAGUAAUGUUUCCAGAAUUUAUAAAUAUGAGCAAAAUGACAUCAUCAUAGCUGACGUUAUGCUUGCAUGUGUAAUAUUUUCACUGAGUCAGAUAAACAGAAAUUAGAAUAGAAACAUACUCUGUUCUCAAAUAUGUAACAGAAGAGCUUCUUUUAAUUGAGCCAGAAGGCUUGGAAGUAAGUUAUUUAAAAGUGUGCUCCUAUUAACCUAGACUGUUUUCCCUGAAUUUGAUUUUACACUGCUUAAACUCACAACCUUGAUCUACCCAUCCUUUAUUUAUUGUGAACACUCAAAAUAUAACACGGAUAUGAUUUUCUGCCUUCUUGUUUAGGUGAAUAAAAACAAAAUAAAAGUUAUAUCCAAGGAGAAGGAAGGUAUAUUUAAGACAAGUUGGGUUUGAAUCAUAGGCUUGGGCUAUUUGGUGGUUUGUGCACCAGGAGAAGGGAUGGGAAAUGAGUCAGCAUACAGAGCAAAAGCUAAAUAUGUUGAUCCCAAGAUGCAUUUAAGGCAAUGCCUUCAGUUAUCUGUUUGCUCACUAUUUGUGUAAUUUUUAAGUAGUGUUGAUUUCUAUUGAUCCCAUGAGGUGGUGUGGUCCCUUUUAUUUAUAGGCUAUAAAAGAGUAUGAGCAAAAGAAUUGUUCUUCUUUAAGGUUGGCAUAAUGCAGCUGUGAAUCCUGUUGAUCCUGAGAUUUUAUUUCCCUGGAAAUUCUAUAAUUGCUCUGAUCUCAUUGCCUGUCGACAAUCUGUUCAAUUGUUCUAUGUCCUCUUUGCUAUGUCUAGAAAUUUAUUCAUUUCUUCCUGGUUUUCUGAUUAUCGAAAUACAGAUUUUCCAAACAUCUCUUAACCUUUCUUUUCUUUCAAUGGAAUUGUUUCUGGCACUUUUAAAAACUGAUUUUGUUUUAUUAACUUUGAAUAAUUUGGCUAAUGAUUUGCCACUCUUGUUUUACCCAUCCAAAGAAUAAAACAGUUUCUUCUUCAGGGUUUUAUGUCAUUCCUCAUUAAUAAUCUGAGGUCUGAAUUUUAGCAUUUAUUUUCUUCCAACAAUGUGGAGUCCAGUUUGUUCUCAUUUUUCCAAGACAAUGAAGUGUAAUACAUCAUUAGGUUAUUUGUCAUAUAUGACUUUGUUUUAAGCUGUAUUAUUCCCCAUGCAUGAAUGUGUUUGCAUGUGUGAACUUUUGUAUUUGUAUAAGCAUAUGUGCUGCAGGUGUCCACAGAGACCAGAAGAGGGUUCCUGAUAUCCUGAAGUUGGAAUUACAUGUUGUAGCAAGUUACCUGAACUGAACCCAGACCCUCUGGAAGUUCAUAAAGCAUUCUUAACCAAUGAGCCAUCUCUCCAGCCCAUUGUUCUUUUAUGCCAUAGUCAUUCAUAGGUAUAAACUUUUAUGUUAUGUAUGUCUCCAAUGAAUCUCUCAUAGUCUGGUAAAUGGAAUUUCUGUUUUCAGUGUAUUCUAGAACUUUAAAAUGUCUCUCAUAUGUCUAAAACAAUCCACUGAUCAUUCAAAAGCACUAAAAUUUUUCAUAGUUUUAUAUUCUCUUUAGGUGCUCUUACUACUGAUUUCUGCUGCAAUUUCAUUAUGGUCAAUGCUCCCCCUUUUUCCUUUGAAGAGUUGUUUAUGUCCUGAAAUACUACCUGUUUUGGAGAAAGUUCCAAGGACAAUUUCUCUGAAGGAUAUAAUUCCUACUUAACAACAGAGCAAUAAUCCCAACUAUGUAUCAGAAGGCAUCAUGAAGAUAGAUGGACUGACAAUCAAUGGACAAGAGAAGAAGAUCUCAAAGAGAAGUCUACUUACCACCCAGCGGGUCUUUUCUAAGUUGGUUUAUGAUGUGUUCCUAUGAAACUUUAAAUGGUCACAAUAUCUGAAAGCACAGCUCCUCUUAAAAAUAGUCCCAUGCUGUGUUGUCUUUUAAAAGAGGGGACUAUUCUGAAUACUCCUCCAUCUGCCCACAUUCCUUAGUCUAGGUAAGUUGAAAACAUUAUGCAAUAGGCCUAUCAAUAUUCCUUUAAAUGCCAGUAUUUCUUUCUUCCUGAAUAUCCAUUCAUUCUGAAACAUCUCACAGAGGGGAAUCCAAAGAAUGCAGAAGGAAUUGUGAGUGACUGUGAAAAUCUGUCCUGUUUUGGUAGAAACUUGGAAAACCAGAUAUAGACUGCUGAAAAUGACUAACCUUCCUGGUCUUGGUAAUAUGUCUCCAGGCAUACUAAGAUACAGAAAUGGUCAAGGGGAAGUUUAGAUGUGAUCUGCCUCUCUGAAGCUGCACAAUUAACUCCUGAGUUCUCUCUGCCUGCAGGACUGUGUUCUUCUCAUUAAGUGAGGUGAUUAUGACACUACUAUGAGUUCUGGUAAGAGAUUUGACACCACCUCAUAAAAGGUGCCUGAGAGGACAAAACCCAGUAUUUUACAGGCAGGAAGCAUCUUUCCAGGGCACAUCUUUUUUGAUGGGAUUUGUCAACAUCCUCAGCUUCUCUGGUUUUGGUAUCCCUAACCACAUCUAUAGGGGGAGUCACUCAUGAGAGUUAUCCAGUAGAGAUGUCAACUCCAUUUUGAUUUUUAAAAUGAGAGUAUUCUAUGUGAAUGCAUUCAAGGAGAGGGCUUCAUGUAUGGGAGAGAGUGCUCGUAGAAGUUCAGUUACCAACAAGGCAAAGACAUUAAGUGCUUUACACACAUAAAGUUUAUGUCUAUAUUACUUUAACAGUGUUAUUGUUGUAUUGAUGAACUAUCCCUCCAGAUCCAUAGUAUUUUUGUUCUUUAGAUCUGAUUUUUUUAUUUGUCCAUGGGCAUUAUGUGCUGAUAUAGUGUUAAUUUCUGUUCAUACAAAAAAUGAAUGGCUCCUUUAAUAAAUAAAGAACUGAAUGUCAAAUAAGAUGCUACAUUUGUAGAUUAAAAACCUCCCAAUUUGAAUAUCUUUAAUUUGAUGUAUUUGUGUGUAUGAGGUUUGGAACAACAUUUAUAAAUAGACAAGAUGAAUUAGAAUUCACACAGGACUGGAAAAUUAGAAUAUUAAGGGUGACUUUUUCCACCUUCUUCGGUGUUCAUGUGAGUGACCUGUGCCAAGACAUUAGAAUUCCCGUCAGCUUGAGAAAAACUAGUGUGAGCUCUCCUGAUAGCAUGGGAGCCUGAGGCAAGCCCACACAGCACUCUAAACACAGACAGCUUCUUUUUGUACUCCAUUUAACACUUCAUUUAUAUGCGCAAACUCUUUUUAGUCUGCAGGGCUACCAUUCUAGAACUUGCCGUAUCUAGACAAUGGAAUAGGAGUAAAUACUCAUGAGCUGGUAAUAACGGGCGAAUCUGAGCAUCACUGUUUAAGAUAGAUGUGGGGCAUUCUGCCUGUGAAAAUUGACUUAUUAUAAGAAGUAAGAUUAGAGCUUUGCAUCCUGAGGCUGUGCAAGUAGAGGCUUUUUAAACUCCAGCAACAUCACUCUGAGAGCACCCAAGGUUCACAGACACACCGUCAGAUUGGUCGGAAUGUAAGGUCAGUGGAGAAGAAAGUGUGGGAGUGGCGCGUGCAACCCAUGCUGUAGACACAAAUUCUCUUCCGUUGAAGGAAUCUGACUGGAGUCUUGCAUUUCAUUGCUGCUGGAUAGAACCUUCAGGUGUGGUGGGUUAGUAUUCUCACCAUUUCUUAAAUUCUCACUUCCAAACUGUGUCUAUAACAACCUAUGCCGCUAAGUGGGGUUCUUACUUGUAGGGCUUCAUGCUUGCUUCCGGGCUCUUAGACUGCCAGCAUGAAAUUCUGUAGCUAGUGCACUUGCUCUAUUUCCUAUUCUGGGCUCUUUUGUUUUUGUUUUGUAUUUUUUUAAAAGUUGUACAAAAAAAUCCAUUGAGACACAUUGUUCCUUUUAGUUCUGAGUCGUGAGACAAAAGAAAGGAGAGAGGGCAAAACCCUUGAGCAACCAUGCUGAGAUUCUCCUGAUCCUUGAAGUCUCUCCCAGCCCUGUGGCCCAAAGCUAUGUUCUUCCUAGUUAUUGACCCAAAAGCAUGGUUUCUACAAGACCCAAUUUUCAAUUGAGAGAACACACAGUUUGAUGUUCUGCCUACUGCACCAUUUUCCAAAAAUUAAGACAGGCAAGGUAGAUAAACCCAACAGGAAUAAUUCAUCAGACAAUGCCAAGGCUCCAUGUUCCAGACAGAACCAAUUAGUCUUUUGGGGGGCAGUGGUCAAGAUUGGCAUGUAUGUGGCAUCUGAUGACUCCUCACCAGGCACAUGAUGAAAAUAAUACUGAAGAAGAAGCUGCCAAUUCCAUCUCUACCAGAGAAGUGGAGGUACAAUACUUUUAACAGAAUGCUCUUUCUCUCUUGAUGAAGUCCAGCAAGGCACACUCACCUAGAGAAACUAAAGCUAAGAUUUACUUUAUCAUUCGGCGGUUAAAUUCACAUUUAUAAAUUAUCCUUUCAGGACCUCCUCGGGGUUCUGCUUCAAUUCAAAAUUAAACCAUGUCGCAUCAAAUAUUAAUGAGAAAAGUUAGAUCCAUUUAUAUUUUAUGCUGAAAUGUAGCCAAUUCUUCCACACUGAUAACACAAUUAGUGAAGUAAUUUCGAGGUGCAUAAUGGAUUUUUAAAAGUUAACUUAUCUGUAACAGGCUCUGGGCAGAUGUUAGGGAAGAAAUGGGUGGUGGUUAUCCUGUAUUGCAUUUUUAAAAACUGAAUGGAACCCUGAGAGUAUAAUGCUAACACACACACACACACACACACACACACACACACACACACACAGUUUUUCCAAUUUUGAAAAUUUCUCUAAAAUCUCAACCAUAGCUUUAUUUCUUGUCCUAAAUGACCUGGAAGUUGCUCAUGACUUAGAGACUGAUUAGUGAUGAAAAGAAAAUGUUCAACAACAACAUCAGGGGGAAAUUAGAAUAACCCAUUUGGUUAUCUUUACUUUUUUCCUAUUGCCCUGUGUUGUAUAUUAUGUGUUCACUACAGAAACCACUUUCCAUAAAGUGAUACUCCUCAUUUCAGCUACUCAAACCAUGAAUCUUUGCUCACCUUUCAGGUCUUUCUGCCCCCACCCCACUCCUUGUACUUCCUCCCUCUAAAACCCACGGACCCUUCAUCUAUACUCCAAAGAGGUUAUAACACCACCCACUCAAUUCCAUUUAACCUUACACCCCCUCCACCGGACAGCAGUCCGGCAGCAUGAAGCAAUCACCUUCUUAGACACCAGAAUCCUUUCUUAUCCUUUCUUUGUUCAGUGUCUCAGCCCAUUCCUGCUUGUUAUCCACUAUGCAGAAUACUCUUUUGGCUAAAUGAAGAGUUUUUUUUUUUUCUGAUUUUCCCAACUUACUUUUUUUUUCAGAGACUAUCUUUGCCAAACUCUAUAUUUCACUUAUCACUAAUAUACCCCUUUAUAGUUCUUAGUUAAUGAUCUGGAAGGUAGAAUAAAAUAAAAGAGGCCUGUUUUAGUUGCUAAGUAGAAAAGAAAAUAAUUCAUACCUAUCCUUUUUCAAAGAUAGAAAGCAACACAAAUAUAAUUGAUAUGAUCAUACCUGAUGUGUGUUGCUUCUAUAUUUGAUCAGUUACAUAUGAAAAUCAAGAUAAAUCUCUUCAUAAAUUACUUUGUAUCAUAUUUCAGUAUUAAGCUGAAGUUUUGGCUCUGAAUUCCCACAAAGUUCUCUUGUGACACCCAGAGAUACCUAAUGAUGUUAUGUGGGUCAUAAUAAAAUCCCACACAUAUCUCACUCAGUAUAGGGUGUGCUCUAUGGCUUUCUGAUCAAAACAUUUAGCUCUCUCAUGACUUCUGUGUUUCACAGUACUUCUCAGACUUGUAAUAGAGAGGUGAAAGGUUCCAGAGAAUACUUCCAAGGCUUCCAGGUGAGCAGUUCAAGAGAGUCAUGCCAUGGUCCAUUGGACUAUGGACAGACAGGACACUCGAUUUCCUUUUGAGAGGAACUAUACUGAGAGUGAAUUCUCCACAGGAAAUAAA